ensembl:lincRNA
GGCGCUGAGGGGAGUGAGGAGGUCACACUGUGUGUGGGUGCUGAGGGAGUGAGGAGGUCACACUGUGUGGGUGCUGAGGGGAGUGUGGAGGUCACGGCGUGUGUGGGUGCUGAGAGGUGUUAGGAAAUCCGAUGUGUUUGUUUCUCCUGGACAGUGUCCCUGUGAGAGAGCCAUGCUGGCCCAAGUCCCGUCACUGUUGGACAGAGAGGGCUCUUCCUGGAGUGAGGCUCCCAUGUGGGUGCUUGCUCUGGCGAGGGAUCUGGUCACGUCUCACCCGAGUGUGUUUAUUUCCGGCUUUGUCGGGAGGCUGGGCACCCGUGGAAGGAAGGAGGACCAGAGGGGGAAAAGGUUUCUUAGAAAUUUGAGGAACAGAAAGCAGGAGGGGUUAUUUCAGGCCUCCUGUUCAGGGGGAAGCACAAUUUUAUGGACGUGGAGUUUCUCUUUGGAGAAUUUGAAUACAUGUGACAAGAUCUUUGGUCCAUUAGCAUCUGAAUUCUUUCUAGAAAACAGGAGCAGAAUGAUUUACCGGAGGACAUCAGCGUCAUUCUGAGGAAGGCCUAUAGGCACCUAGGCCUUUUCAACCCCCACCGCUCUCCUUCCAUCAGAGAAGAAAAAAUGCUUCUGCUUUUUGAAUUGGCUCGUUUUUCCUUGACCUUGAAGUGCACGGAGAUCUCCUCUGACUGCCUGUCAGACCUGAAGAAGAUGGAAAGCGCGGAUCCUGGGAAGCUGAUUGAAAUUGAGUGUCUGGAGUGUGAAUCAGAAGCUUUAAGACUUGAGAGUAAAAUGAAAGUGUACCUCCGAGCAGCCGUUGAGACCCAGCUGGAUAUCGUACAGAGACUGGACGUCGCGCUGCAGCGAGCCGUCCGCCUGGGCGACCCCCGGGUCAUCCAUGUGGUGUGCGCCACGCAGUGGAACACCUGCCUGCCCCUGCUGCAGCACAACCUGCGACACCGCCUGAGGAAGCCGCUGGCCAGCGUCGCGGAGGUGCUGGAGAAGGUGGACAGCCUCAUGACGCUGCUCCGCUGCCAAGUACACAUGGAGAUGGCGCAGAUUGAGGAGGACGAGGACCGGCUGGAGCCCGCCAUGGAGCACCUGUGGAAAGCCACACGCCUGGACAGCCUGGGCCUCUACCAGGACCAGCUCCGGAUGGCCUCCACCCGGCUGCGCCUGUGCACCACGCUGUACCAGGCCCCCGAGCACGCUGAGGACAAGGCCAUCGUGUGCAUCGAGCAGGCAAAAAAAGCUCCCCCGAAGGACAGCGUCAGGAAGAAGCGGGCCCUCCUGGUGAACGCGGGCCUGGCCUUAGCCCCCGACACCUUUCAGAUCGUGCUGGACAGUGAGAAUGAGGCCAAAGUGUCCACUGGGAAGAACAGGGGCCGGUUCAGCUACCUUUGCUCGAAGGCACGGCACCACAUUGUCAGCGUGGACAAAGCUGCCGGGCACCUGCGGCGGCUGGGCUAUGAAAAUGACAAGGAGAGGAUUCAGAUCUGGGCGGAGCUAGCCAAGGUGGCGCGGAAGCAGGGCGUGUGGGACGUCUGUCGGACGGCGAGCCGCUUCUGCCUCCUGUAUGACAACGUCAAGGUGAAGAAGCUGAGGCUGCGGAGAGGGAGGAAGAAGCGAGGUGGGGACAGCUCAGUGCAGGACGCUGGGAGCCAGCCUGAGGUCGUCCUGCAGAGGCAGGUGUCCCCUGACCUGCUGCGGAAGUUCGCGGAGGUGGGGUUCAUCAACGCUGAGGCCACGGUCCAUUUGCUGCGGUCAGAAGGUGUAGAGCUGAAUGACCGGGCCAUCCCCCCCGAAGACCUGAGCCAGCACCCAGCCGGCUACGUGCCUGAGCCCCCGGAGGCGAGUGCUGAGUGGGUCACAUACAGAACCUGGAUUGAGAGCCUGUCCCAGUACGCCAUGAAUAACUGGCUGCGCUCUGCAGAGAUUGGACAGGAACUCCAGGAGGCAUGGAUCGUGCAGAACGCUGUGGUCUACGUCCUGAACCACAGCCGCCACCUGAUCCUGGCCGGGCGGCAGAAGGAGCUGGUGGACGCCCUGCACCACCUCCUGAGCAUCGUCAAGGCCACAGGCCACAGCGGGGACCCUGUGAUGCUGGUGACGCUCUGCAACACGCUGGCACGAGGCCUGAUCAUCAGCUGGAUUCCAGCCCUGGCUGCUGAGAAGUCCAGGAAAUUGGUGCGAGCAAAUGCCUUUCACAGCCCACUGGAUGCAGGAGCCACCUCCGAGAUCAAAACAGCGGUGGAGGUCUGUGAGUUUGCCCUGAACCUGACCAACGGGAGCACACCAGAGGAGACGGUGCCCACCCGCAUCCGGCAGCAGCUCCUCGCCACCUGGGUCAAGGCCAAGCAGCUCCUGCAGCAGCAGAUCGGGCCACGGCUGGGCACCGAGGAGCAGGGCACCAACGAGGAUGUCAGCUCGAUAACCAGAGUCCUUGUUGCCUUGGAAAUGUACUCGUGCAACGGGCUGGGCCUCAUGGACUUCACCGUCCCCUCCCUGGCCCAGUUGGUGAAAAUGGCUUCUGAGUGCAACUGGUCGGACCCCCUGGUGGAGCUGCAGACCCUGACGCGGCUGACCCACUUCGCCUACACGGCACGUGACCAUGAGACCACCAUGGCCUGUGCUCACAAGGCCGUUGAGAUGGGCGUCAAGUACCUGAAGACACUUGGUCCCGUGGAGUCCCGGCUGGUGGCGGAGAUGCUGUGCACGGCCGCGGGUGUCCAGGGCAGGAGCAUCAUGGAGAACCUGAAGGGCCAGAAGCAGCUGCGGCUGGUGGCAGCCAAGGCCUUCAUGGAGAGUGCUAGGUUCGGAGGCAUCGCGGGCAGCAGCGCCCUGGUGAUGCUGGCCGCGCGGCACUUCUGGAAUGCCUGGCUCCCGUUCCUGUCCUCGGCCGUCUACAGGAAGAAGGCCCAGGGUGCCCUGCAGAGGCUCAUCCGCAUCAUCAACAGGACAGAGGCCGAAAAGCAGGAGGAAGAGAAGACGCUGCUUCUGCACCAGUGGCCCACAGCCGACUUCCAGGGCGGCGGGACGGCCGACGGGUAUUUUCUUCCAGGAUUGAAGAGGACUCCUUGCCACCACAUGUGUGGUUUCCAAGUUCAUCAGACCCUGGUUUACUGCAUUCAAACGGGAGGAAGCAGGACUCAGGGUCCUGGGACCGACUUAGUUCGUGAGUUUCAGACUUGGAGCAGCUUCUCUGGCCGGUGCCUGGGUGUGGAGGGCCUGGCAGAGUGAGAAGGCCACAGUGAGUCCACAGAUCCUGGCAUCCGAUGGGGCACCGUGCUCCCAGCCAUGGGCGCAUUUGCUCCUUAGACCCAGUGGGCCGACUCGGGAGAACGCAGAGUCUCACGAAAAAUGAGUCAGAGAAGGGAAAGAAGGCUCCACGCUCUGUGACGUGAACCUCAGUGGUCCAGGUGCCAGCACCAGAGGGGGGUCCUGCUGAUACCGUGACGGGGCUGGUGCAGGCAACGGGCUCUGGCCCUCAGCGCUGUGGCCUGCAGGGUGCUGGGGGAGGCCGCUGAGAGAAUGGGGUUUAUCUUUCCUUAGGGUCCUAUUGUUUAUCUUUAAAAUUACAGAAAAGCACCAGGUUUCUGAAAAGAGGAAGGCGUGAGGGACUGCUGAGUCUGAGAAGGCUCCAGAGGGCGGGUGGAGGCGGGCACUGUCCCAGAGACCCUUGAGCAGCACAGCAGGGCCAGUGAGGGCAGCAGGGGUGCAG